GGAGGGUAGAGAGCUGGUGAGGGCAGGGAGUGGCUGGGCUCAGCAGGGCGGAGGGUCAGGAGGUGAGCUUGGCUCUGCUGACCUGAGGCCUCUGCUGCAGGCCCUACUUCACCUACUGGCUGACUUUUGUCCACAUCAU
ensembl:miRNA